rnacentral:piRNA from 1 species
UAAUGAGAAUGAAACACAGGGAUGGCUGAGU